GACCACGUCUGACACAAAAGGAGAAAAAGGUGACCCUGGAGAAACUGCAACUAAAGGAGAGCAGGGAUUAAAGGGUGAACCAGGACAUCCAGGAUUGCCAGGAUUUUCAGGAGCUCCUGGUAUUCAGGGUCCAAUAGGGGAACCUGGAGCUACAGGACCAAAAGGCUCAUCAGGAGAAGUAGGAUUACCUGGAGAGCAUGGAAUACCUGGUAAACCAGGAACCAAAGGAGAAAAGG